UACGUAGGGUGCGAGCGUUAAUCGGAAUUACUGGGCGUAAAGCGUGCGCAGGCGGUUUUGUAAGUCAGAUGUGAAAUCCCCGGGCUUAACCUGGGAAUGGCAUUUGGGACUGCAAGGCUGGAGUUUGGCAGAGGAGACUGGAAUUCCUGGUGUAGCAGUGAAAUGCGUAGAUAUCAGGAGGAAUACCGAUGGCGAAGGCAGGUCUCUGGGCUAUAACUGACGCUGAGGAGCGAAAGCGUGGGGAGCGAACAGG
rnacentral:rRNA from 1 species